AGGAUCCUGUCAAAAUAGGCAGCGCUUGGUGGUAACACUGAGAUGAAAAUCGGGCUAAUUCGGGGGACCCCCAGUAAAAUGGGGUAAUCCCGAGCUAAAUUGAUCCCAUGGAUCAUAAAUGUGUAGAGACUAUAUACCCGGCUCCCGAAAGGGAUGAUAAGAUAGUCCAGACCAUUUGGUAACAAGUGG
rnacentral:ncRNA from 1 species